UUUCCGUAGGUGAACCUGCGGAAGGAUCAUUAUCGAGUUACGGUCUCUGGCCCGCCCUCCAACCCUGUGUCUCCUCUACCAUGUUGCUUUGGCGCGCCCGCGUUCGUCGCCGCCGAGGGGUUCACCCCCCUGGCCCACUCCCCGCCGCUACCCCCCUCUUAAACACUCGAUCAACCGUGACUUUCUGACUAAAAAAACAAUCAAGCACCAAACUUUCAACAACGGAUCUCUCGGUUCCCGCACGCAUCACAACCGCCUCCGCCCCGAAUACACCACCGC
rnacentral:misc_RNA from 1 species